rnacentral:rRNA from 1 species
GAUGAACGCUGGCGGCGUGCCUAAUACAUGCAAGUCGAGCGAAUGGAUUAAGAGCUUGCUCUUAUGAAGUUAGCGGCGGACGGGUGAGUAACACGUGGGUAACCUGCCCAUAAGACUGGGAUAACUCCGGGAAACCGGGGCUAAUACCGGAUAAUAUUUUGAACUGCAUGGUUCAAAAUUGAAAGGCGGCUGCGGCUGUCACUUAUGGAUGGACCAGCGUCGCAUUAGCUAGUUGGUGAGGUAACGGCUCACCAAGGCAACGAUGCGUAGCCGACCUGAGAGGGUGAUAGGCCACACUGGGACUGAGACACGGCCCAGACUCCUACGGGAGGCAGCAGUAGGGAAUCUUCCGCAAUGGACGAAAGUCUGACGGAGCAACGCCGCGUGAGUGAUGAAGGCUUUCGGGUCGUAAAACUCUGUUGUUAGGGAAGAACAAGUGCUAGUUGAAUAAGCUGGCACCUUGACGGUACCUAACCAGAAAGCCACGGCUAACUACGUGCCAGCCGCCGCGGUAA